rnacentral:rRNA from 1 species
GAGUUUGAUCGUGGCUCAGAUUGAACGGCUGGACGGCGAGGUCCUAACACCAUGCCAAGUCGGGCGGUAGAGAGGAAGCUUGCGUUCUCUUGAGAGCGGCGGACGGGUGAGUAAUGCCUAGGAAUCUGCCCUGGUAGUGGGGGAUAACGCUCGGAAACGGACGCUAAUACCGCAUACGUCCUACGGGAGAAAGCAGGGGACCUUCGGGCCUUGCGCUAUCAGAUGAGCCUAGGUCGGAUUAGCUAGUUGGUGAGGUAAUGGCUCACCAAGGCGACGAUCCGUAACUGGUCUGAGAGGAUGAUCAGUCACACUGGAACUGAGACACGGUCCAGACU